CCUACGGGAGGCAGCAGUGAGGAAUAUUGGUCAAUGGACGAGAGCCUGAACCAGCCAAGUAGCGUGAAGGAUGACUGCCCUAUGGGUUGUAAACUUCUUUUAUAUGGGAAUAAAACGUUCCACGUGUGGGAGUUUGUAUGUACCAUAUGAAUAAGCAUCGGCUAACUCCGUGCCAGCAGCCGCGGUAAUACGGAGGAUCCGAGCGUUAUCCGGAUUUAUUGGGUUUAAAGGGAGCGUAGGUGGAUCGUUAAGUCAGUUGUGAAAGUUUGGGUCUCAACCGUAGAAUUGCAGUUGAAACUGGCAGUCUUGAGUACAGUAGAGGUAGGCGGAAUGCGUGGUGUAGCGGUGAAAUGCUUAGAUAUCACGAAGAACUCCGAUUGCGAAGGCAGUUCACUGGACUGCAACUGACACUGAGGCUCGAAAGUGUGGGUAUCAAACAGGAUUAGAUACCCGGGUAGUC
rnacentral:rRNA from 1 species